UACGUAGGUGGCGAGCGUUGUCCGGAUUUACUGGGCGUAAAGGGAGCGUAGGCGGACUUAUAAGUGAGAUGUGAAAUACUCGGGCUCAACUUGAGUGCUGCAUUUCAAACUGGAAGUCUAGAGUGCAGGAGAGGAGAAUGGAAUUCCUAGUGUAGCGGUGAAAUGCGUAGAGAUUAGGAAGAACACCAGUGGCGAAGGCGAUUCUCUGGACUGUAACUGACGCUGAGGCUCGAAAGCGUGGGGAGCAAACAGG
rnacentral:rRNA from 1 species